UCCGCUUUCUAUGCUGGUAUGGGUUGGACGGUUUGACUGAGGACUGUCAAGCCGGGAGGCUGCUCCAGGCCCCAAUCUGGUCUGGCAAUGUUUCUACAGCUGGAUGCCCUUCCUUACGCCAACCACUCCAAGAGUGUAGUGGGUGCUUUUUACAUGCCAUCGGCACAAGGGGCCAGUGGAGCUAGCAUCGACCAUGAUUGGGUGGUGCUUUUUACAUGCCACUCGCAUGGAAGCCAGUCAAGGUGGCACUGGCAUCGGCCACUUUCGGAUGGUGCUUU